AUUGAACGCUGGCGGCAUGCCUUACACAUGCAAGUCGAACGGCAGCGGGCCUUCGGGUGCCGGCGAGUGGCGAACGGGUGAGUAAUGCAUCGGAACGUGCCAUUGAGUGGGGGAUAACGUAGCGAAAGUUGCGCUAAUACCGCAUAUUCUGUGAGCAGGAAAGCAGGGGACCGCAAGGCCUUGCGCUCUUUGAGCGGCCGAUGUCAGAUUAGCUAGUUGGUGAGGUAAAGGCUUACCAAGGCGACGAUCUGUAGCGGGUCUGAGAGGAUGAUCCGCCACACUGGAACUGAGACACGGUCCAGACUCCUACGGGAGGCAGCAGUGGGGAAUUUUGGACAAUGGGGGCAACCCUGAUCCAGCCAUGCCGCGUGAGUGAAGAAGGCCUCGGUU
rnacentral:rRNA from 1 species